AAAGCAGCCACACAUUUAAAGAGUGCGUAAUAGCUCACUGGUCGAGUGAUUGUGCGCCGAAGAUGUCCGGGGCUAAACGUGACACCGAAGCGAUGGGUGCAUCUGAAAGGAUGCGCGGUAGAGGAGCAAUGUGCAGAGGCAGAAGCCGUAUCGAGAGGCACGGUGGACACUGCACAAGAGAGAAUGCCGGUAUGAGUAGCGAGAGGCAUGCGAGAAACAUGCCCGUCGAAAGCCCAAGGUUUCCUGGGGAAGGUUCAUCCGCCCAGGGUAAGUCGGGGCCUAAGCCGAGGACGGAAGUCGUAGGCGAUGGACAGCAGGUGUAGAUUCCUGCACUACCGAUGGAAUGAAGCAGUGACACAGAAGGAUAACUCGAGCAGGGUGAUGGUCAACCCUGUGCAAGCAUUGAGGUUGGGUUGUAGUGAAGUACGCAAUCCUAUAAGCUGAGAUGUGAUGCGGACCGAAAUUUCAGUAGGGAAGCGAGUGAGUUCACGCUGGCGAGAAAAGCUGCUAGUACAUCCAAAGGUACCCGUACCGGAAACCGACGCAGGUGGGCGAGGAGAGAAUCCUGAGACGAACGGGAGAACCCUUGUUAAGGAACUCGGCAAAAUGACCCCGUAACUUCGGGAUAAGGGGUGCCUGCGAGAGCAGGCCGCAGAGAAUAGUCACAAGCGACUGUUUAGCAAAAACACAGGUAUCUGCGAAAGCGAGAGCUGACGUAUAGGUGCUGACACCUGCCCGGUGCUGGAAGGUUAAGGGAACAUGUUAGAGCAAUCGAAGCAUCGAACCGAAGCCCCAGUAACCGGCGGCCGUAACUAUAACGGUCCUAAGGUAGCGAAAUUCCUUGUCGGGUAAGUUCCGACCCGCACGAAUGGUGUAACGACUUGUGAGCUGUCUCAACAGGGGGCCCGGUGAAAUUGAAGUAUGGGUGAAGAUGCCCAUUACCCGCGACUGGACGGAAAGACCCCGUAGAGCUUUACUGCAGCCUGAUAUUGAGUUUCGGUAACUGAUGCACAGGAUAGGUGGGAGUCUGAGAGACAUGGGUUUCGGCUCAUGUGGAGACGGUGUUGGGAUACCACUCUUCGGUUACUGAAAUUCUAACAUAGCUCUGUGAAACCAGAGGAUGGACAGUGUCAGGUGGACAGUUUGACUGGGGCGGUCGCCUCCGAAAGAGUAACGGAGGCGCCCAAAGGUACCCUCAGAAUGGAUGGAAACCAUUCGAAGAGCGCAAAGGCAGAAGGGUGCCUGACUGCGAGAUUGACAAAUCGAGCAGAGACGAAAGUCGGGCUUAGUGAUCCGGCGGUAUUGAGUGGAAAAGCCGUCGCUUAACGGAUAAAAGCUACCUCGGGGAUAACAGGCUGAUCUCCCCCAAGAGUCCACAUCGACGGGGAGGUUUGGCACCUCGAUGUCGGCUCGUCGCAUCCUGGGGCUGAAGCAGGUCCCAAGGGUUUGGCUGUUCGCCAAUUAAAGCGGCACGCGAGCUGGGUUCAGAACGUCGUGAGACAGUUCGGUCCCUAUCCAUCGUGGGCGUAGGAGUCAUGAGAGGAGCUGUUCCUAGUACGAGAGGACCGGAAUGGACGCACCACUGGUGCAACUGUUGUCGUGCCAACGGCAUAGCAGGGAAGCGAAGUGCGGAUGGGAUAAACGCUGAAGGCAUCUAAGCGUGAAGCCCACCUCAAGAAUAAGACUCCACAAUAGACCCCUGGAGGACUACCAGGUAGAUAGGUCAUCGGUGGAAGCGCUGUAAGGCGUGUAGCUUGAUGAUACUAAUCGGUCGAAAGCUUC
rnacentral:rRNA from 1 species